AUAGCGUAUGUUAACGCUGCUGCGGUUAAAGAGCUCGUCGCCGGAUAUCGGCCUCGGAGGGGCGGUUCGCCGGAGGGCGACACUUCCCCGUUCCGGGCGCAGUGGCGCGGCCAUGUCGGUUGGGGUUCGGGGCCCUCCGCCGCCUCGUCUCGCUCCCGCGGGCGUGUGUCGGUGGGGGUGUUCUUUCCGUGCCCUAUCCGCGCGGCGACAGCGCCGGUUUCCUUGAGAAAAUUGGAGUGCUCAGAGCAGGCUGCUCAGGCUCGCACAGGAGUGCAUGGAACUAGCCCAUCGGUCCCGGACCGUCUUUCUGUCGGCUUCAGGGUCCGGGUCCAGGGUCAAUGGGGACGGCCGGGGGCAUUGGUACUGCGACGUUAGAGGUGAAAUUCAGGGAUCGUCGCAUGACCGACAACUG
rnacentral:rRNA from 1 species